rnacentral:rRNA from 1 species
ACGGGAGGCAGCAGUGGGGAAUAUUGGGCAAUGGGGGAAACCCUGACCCAGCAACGCCGCGUGAAGGAAGAAGGCUUUCGGGUUGUAAACUUCUUUUAAGAGGGACGAACACAAUGACGGUACCUCUUGAAUAAGCCACGGCUAACUACGUGCCAGCAGCCGCGGUAAUACGUAGGUGGCAGGCGUUAUCCGGAUUUACUGGGUGUAAAGGGCGCGUAGGCGGAGUGGCAAGUCAGAUGUGAAAUCUCUGGGCUUAACCCGGAAACUGCAUUUGAAACUGUCACCCUUGAGUGUCGGAGAGGUAGACGGAAUUCCUAGUGUAGCGGUGAAAUGCGUAGAUAUAAGGAAGAACACCAGUGGCGAAGGCGGUCUACUGGACAGUAACUGACGCUGAGGCGCGAAAGCGUGGGGAGCAAACAGGAUUAGAUACCCUGGUA